rnacentral:misc_RNA from 1 species
GAUGAAGAACGUAACGAAAUGCGAUAAGUAAUGUGAAUUGCAGAAUUCAGUGAAUCAUCGAAUCUUUGAACGCACAUUGCGCCCAUUAGUAUUCUAGUGGGCAUGCCUGUUCGAGCGUCAUUAAGUCCACUUAAGCCCUGCUUAGUGUUGGGAGACUGCUCCAGCGGUGCUACCCUGUAGCUACCCUGCAGCUCCUCAAAGACAGCGGCGGAGUUGUGGUAUCCUCUGAGCUUAGUAACUUGUUCUAGCUUUCGAGUACACCACUUCCCCUGCCGUAAAACCCUUAAUUUUUAAUGGUUGACCUCGGAUCAGGUAGGAAUACCCGCUGAACUUAAGCAUAUCAAUAAGCGGAGGA